AUGGCAAUGCAGAGGAGGAAGGUUGAUAGUGAGAGAAGAGAGGGGAUCGAGGAGAGCAAUGAGAUGUACACGGAGGUGCUCCCGGCUGUUGAAAAUAAGGGCAAGCAACCGGUUCAUCCAAUGCCCGAGGUGGUGCUGCCGCCCACCGCCGAGGAAGAACUGAAGACGCCAACGGUUGGCGACGCUGAUCGCAUGGAGGAGCCCCCCAGCAGCAAGCGCCGCAACUACGGCCACUACCAUGAGGAGGGUGGCCCAACUCACUUCUGCAAGGUCAUCCUUGCACCGAAGCUUGAGUGCAUCUCCAUGCCCCUCGACUUCACCAAGCACUUCGUCGCGGUGCCGACGGAGUUCAAGUUGAGGAACAACACCGGCUGCACCUGGAGGGUGACAGUGAAGCUGAUGAGCAAUCAUGAUUGGCUACAUGGUGACAUUCAAGCUCCUGACUCCUGA
rnacentral:rRNA from 1 species